rnacentral:tRNA from 1 species
GCUGGUGUAGCUCAGAUGGUAGAGCAGCUGAUUUGUAAUCAGCAGGUCAGGGGUUCGAGUCCGUUCACCAGCUCCA